AGAGUUUGAUCCUGGCUCAGGAUGAACGCUGGCGGCGUGCCUAACACAUGCAAGUCGAGCGGAGACAGUGAGUAGCUUGCUAUGAGCUGUUUUAGCGGCGGACGGGUGAGUAACGCGUGAGCAACCUUUCCCAGACACGGGAAUAACACACCGAAAGGUGUACUAAUACCGCAUAAGACCACGGGAUCACAUGGUUCUGGGGUAAAAGAUUUUAUCGGUUUGGGGUGGGCUCGCGUCCGAUUAGGUAGUUGGUG
rnacentral:rRNA from 1 species